rnacentral:rRNA from 1 species
CAUUUCGGCGAUGGAGACUGUAAGACUAGAGUGUGGUAGGGGCAGAGGGAAUUCCCGGUGUAGCGGUGAAAUGCGUAGAUAUCGGGAAGAACACCAGUGGCGAAGGCGCUCUGCUGGGCCAUAACUGACGCUCAUGGACGAAAGCCAGGGGAGCGAAAGGGAUUAGAUACCCCUGUAGUCA